rnacentral:rRNA from 1 species
UCCGGGGGGGGCAAGCGUUGUUCGGAAUUACUGGGCGUAAAGGGCUCGUAGGCGGCCAACUAAGUCGGAUGUGAAAUCCCCAGGCUUAACCUGGGAACUGCAUCCGAUACUGGAUGGCUUGAAUCCGGGAGAGGGAUGCAGAAUUCCAGGUGUAGCGGUGAAAUGCGUAGAUAUCUGGAGGAACACCGGUGGCGAAGGCGGCAUUCUGGACCGACAUUGACGCUGAGGAGCGAAAGCCAGGGGAGCAAACGGG